rnacentral:rRNA from 1 species
GUUUGAUCAUGGCUCAGAUUGAACGCUGGCGGCAGGCCUAACACAUGCAAGUCGAGCGGAUGAGGGGAGCUUGCUUCCUGAUUCAGCGGCGGACGGGUGAGUAAUGCCUAGGAAUCUGCCCGAUAGUGGGGGACAACGUUUCGAAAGGAACGCUAAUACCGCAUACGUCCUACGGGAGAAAGUGGGGGAUCUUCGGACCUCACGCUAUCGGAUGAGCCUAGGUCGGAUUAGCUAGUUGGUGGGGUAAUGGCUCACCAAGGCGACGAUCCGUAACUGGUCUGAGAGGAUGAUCAGUCACACUGGAACUGAGACACGGUCCAGACUCCUACGGGAGGCAGCAGUGGGGAAUAUUGGACAAUGGGCGAAAGCCUGAUCCAGCCAUGCCGCGUGUGUGAAGAAGGUCUUCGGAUUGUAAAGCACUUUAAGUUGGGAGGAAGGGCAGUAAGUUAAUACCUUGCUGUUUUGACGUUACCAACAGAAUAAGCACCGGCUAACUUCGUGCCAGCAGCCGCGGUAAUACGAAGGGUGCAAGCGUUAAUCGGAAUUACUGGGCGUAAAGCGCGCGUAGGUGGUUCAGCAAGUUGGAUGUGAAAGCCCCGGGCUCAACCUGGGAACUGCAUCCAAAACUACUGGGCUAGAGUAUGGUAGAGGGUGGUGGAAUUUCCUGUGUAGCGGUGAAAUGCGUAGAUAUAGGAAGGGACACCAGUGGCGAAGGCGACCACCUGGACUAAUACUGACACUGAGGUGCGAAGGCGUGGGGAGCAAACAGGAUUAGAUACCCUGGUAGUCCACGCCGUAAACGAUGUCAACUAGUUGUUGGGUUCCUUGAGAACUUAGUAACGAAGCUAACGCGAUAAGUUGACCGCCUGGGGAGUACGGC